rnacentral:rRNA from 1 species
AUUGAACGCUGGCGGCAGGCCUAACACAUGCAAGUCGAACGGUAACAGGAAGCAGCUUGCUGCUUUGCUGACGAGUGGCGGACGGGUGAGUAAUGUCUGGGAAACUGCCUGAUGGAGGGGGAUAACUACUGGAAACGGUAGCUAAUACCGCAUAACGUCGCAAGACCAAAGAGGGGGACCUUCGGGCCUCUUGCCAUCGGAUGUGCCCAGAUGGGAUUAGCUAGUAGGUGGGGUAACGGCUCACCUAGGCGACGAUCCCUAGCUGGUCUGAGAGGAUGACCAGCCACACUGGAACUGAGACACGGUCCAGACUCCUACGGGAGGCAGCAGUGGGGAAUAUUGCACGAUGGGCGCAAGCCUGAUGCAGCCAUGCCGCGUGUAUGAAGAAGGCCUUCGGGUUGUAAAGUACUUUCAGCGGGGAGGAAGGGAGUAAAGUUAAUACCUUUGCUCAUUGACGUUACCCGCAGAAGAAGCACCGGCUAACUCCGU